UACGGAGGGGGCUAGCGUUGUUCGGAAUUACUGGGCGUAAAGCGCACGUAGGCGGCUUUGUAAGUUAGAGGUGAAAGCCCAGGGCUCAACCCUGGAAUUGCCUUUAAGACUGCAUCGCUUGAACAUCGGAGAGGUAAGUGGAAUUCCGAGUGUAGAGGUGAAAAUUCGUAGAUAUUCGGAAGAACACCAGUUGCGAAGGCGGCCGACUGGACACAUAUUGACGCUGAGGCUCGAAAGCAUGGGGAGCAAACAGG
rnacentral:rRNA from 1 species